UACAGAGGUCUCAAGCGUUGUUCGGAUUCAUUGGGCGUAAAGGGUGCGUAGGCGGCCUUGUAAGUCAGUGGUGAAAGCCUCCAGCUCAACUGGAGAACUGCCAUUGAUACUGCCGUGCUUGAGGACUGGAGAGGAGACUGGAAUUUACGGUGUAGCGGUGAAAUGCGUAGAAUAUCGUAAGGAAGACCAGUGGCGAAGGCGGGUCUCUGGACAGUUCCUGACGCUGAGGCACGAAGGUCAGGGGAGCAAACGGG
rnacentral:rRNA from 1 species